UAACGCUGGUACUGUGGCACCCGACAAUAUUGAGUAAGGACGAGAAGAAUAGGAAAUUAAAUUUAUCGCCAGAAAAUACGGUCCCUGGUCUCGUUCUCUUUUUCUCACGCAUAGCGCUUUGCUAAAGCCCCGCCACAAAAGCUUCUUGAAGUAUGUGGUAGAGUCAACACGAUUUAUAUUUUACCUAUAUGUGCAACACCAUUGAUACGAUCAAAUAAAAAUAAAAAUUAAAUUAUGGGGUUUUACGUGCCAAAACCACUUUCUGAUUAUGAGGCACGCCGUAGUGGGGGGACUCCGGAAAUUUUGACUACCUGGGUUUCUUUAACGUGCACCUAAAUCUAAGUACACGGGUGUUUUCGCAUCUCGCCCACAUCGAAAUAAAAAUUCGCUACCGGUUACUGUAGCUGCCUCCUAACCGGAGGAGCUUUACAUUUUGCAGUAACAGCCGGUCUAUGCGAGGCGCGAAUAGCUGGGUCACCUGGUUUCACUUUCAGUGCUUUGGGAAAUCUCAGUAUGCGGACUCUUUUUUUUUUCUUUUUUAUUCCUCGCGCACCAGAGUGUGGCCUCCGUGACUGGGAGACGAAGCACGCACAGCGACACGACGCUGAGCCACAGGAGUGGACGCGUCGCAGCUGUUCGCCCGACGCGACCGGAGUUCGAGCCCACGAGCCCGUGCUUCUCGGCAGCAGAACGGCACAGCCAUUGAGCUACCGCGCAAGCUUUCCUACAGCCCAGCACAUCAUUCAUCUACGGGAGCUCAAAACAGCCUAAUUAUCUCAAAACCUCUUCACGCGCUAUUUUUAUCGUUACUAUUAUAUUCUUUAUCUCACAAA